rnacentral:rRNA from 1 species
UACAGAGGUGGCAAGCGUUGUUCGGAAUUACUGGGCGUAAAGGGCGCGUAGGCGGCCUUCUAAGUCAGACGUGAAAUCCCCCGGCUUAACCUGGGAACUGCGUCUGAUACUGGGAGGCUUGAGUAUGGGGGAGGGAUGUAGAAUUCCAGGUGUAGCGGUGAAAUGCGUAGAUAUCUGGAGGAAUACCGGUGGCGAAGGCGGCAUCCUGGACCAUUACUGACGCUGAGGCGCGAAAGCUAGGGGAGCAAACGGG